rnacentral:rRNA from 1 species
GAUGAACGCUGGCGGCGUGCUUAACACAUGCAAGUCGAACGAAGCACCUUGAUUCGAUUCUUCGGAUGAAGAUCUUGGUGACUGAGUGGCGGACGGGUGAGUAACGCGUGGGUAACCUGCCUCAUACAGGGGGAUAACAGUUAGAAAUGACUGCUAAUACCGCAUAAGUCCACAGCACCGCAUGGUGCAGGGGUAAAAACUCCGGUGGUAUGAGAUGGACCCGCGUCUGAUUAGGUAGUUGGUGGGGUAACGGCCUACCAAGCCGACGAUCAGUAGCCGACCUGAGAGGGUGACCGGCCACAUUGGGACUGAGACACGGCCCAAACUCCUACGGGAGGCAGCAGUGGGGAAUAUUGCACAAUGGGGGAAACCCUGAUGCAGCGACGCCGCGUGAGCGAUGAAGUAUUUCGGUAUGUAAAGCUCUAUCAGCAGGGAAGAAAAUGACGGUACCUGACUAAGAAGCACCGGCUAAAUACGUG